GCCAGGUGUGUUGGUGCAUGCCUGUAGUCCCAGCUACUUGGGAGGCUGAGGCAAGAGGAUCGCUUGAGCCCAGGAGUUUGAGACUGCAGUGAGCUAUAAUCAUACCACUGUACUCCAGCCUGGGUGACAGAGCAAGACCCUGUCUCUU
rnacentral:SRP_RNA from 1 species